rnacentral:rRNA from 1 species
GUCACGGGAAGAACACCCGUUCUUAGGCGGUAGGUGGAAGUGCAGUAAUGUAUGUAGCCGAGCCGUGCUAACAGACCGAGGGCUUGACCUC